GCAAUGAUAAAAUGCCCUUAAAUUGAGGACACGUUGAUGUCUCAGUGCCGAAAUCGAACCACCAUUUGUUUAUUCUUAUUUUUCUUUUGAACCCAACUCUGAUCUCCAUCUCCAUAGAUAAAACCAGCUCUUUGAAUUUAUGAACUGCGAUUUCAAUAUACCGCCAACGGAGUUAUGGAUGAAAUGGAUUAGGGUAACUAUUGACAAUGCAUUUAAUGAGAAGACGACGCUGAUAAAGAUAAUCAACAUGCAUGUAUUCACAAAUAUUGGAGCUCCAAAGCCACGCCUACACCACUCAAAUCCAAUUCCAGUUAGCUCUUUACACACAUUCUAUCGCGAAUGCCUUUUUUCCUCGAUCUAUAUAACCCAAGAAGAAUGCAUUAACUGGAGGAACAUUAUUGGCCGUUAUUGGAGAUUUAGUUGCUCCAGCUAGUGUUGUUGGACUUGUUGCCUUGGCACCUGCGUUAGAGGCUAUAGUACCCUUUGUUGGUUAUGUUCAAUACGAACCAUGAUCCAAUUUACUUAUUCUGAUGACUUGGCAGUUACAUGAAUUAAUAUGUAAAAGUGUAUUGAUAAUGUGGCUUGGAUGGAAAAGUUGAACUUGCAGGAUUGGAUGGAGCUUAUGUGAAGAUCAGGCUUAGAGGCUGCCGAUUUUGACACAAACAUUUCAUGAUCUUUGGGGAAUUAGAUGAAGCAGAGAAUACUUAAAAUCUUGGAGGUGGCUAUAGAAGAUGAGAAACAACUCGAUGAUAGCCUUGCAAACUUCUAAUUCGAUAUUCUAUAAGUGCACUAAAUUGAACUAAUGAUCUCGAAAUAGGAAAUCCGAACUGAAUCUGUUAAUCUGAAAAAAUUACUCCAGCUAAAGAGGAGGGAGAUCAGGGAUCAAAGAGAAGACGAGUGGUAACGCAUAAUCUUUCGGGAGGAGGCGAAGAGAUAGGAUCAAUCAGAAAAUGCUUGCUUUACAAGAACUUAUACCUAACUUUAAAGGCAUAAUCGAGCAAGCAGGAAUGCAAAGAGGUACACUACAUAUGCCUUGCCACUUUGAUAAUGUCUCAUCCACUCUGCACUAUGCUGUGUGUGGAGGUGUGGGGGAAAUGUAAAGCUUCCAGAUUUAUGUAGAUCAUUGUGGAGCUUCUCAUUAGGGAAGUGAAGCUUGUGACACACUUUGAAACCGGUGGCACCUCGUUCUUAGAAGAGAAGUAGAGCUGCUGAAUUCCACAAUUUAUCAGAAAAGGUGUGUGAUAAUCAUAGUUUAUUGCAUGUAGUUUGUGAAGUUUUUGGUUUCGAUUUGCAAAUCUGUCUCAAACCAUUAGCUAUUUAGCCUAUUUUUGACAAAGGAGGUGAAGCCGGACCAACGAGAAACUCAAAGCACUUAAGAAUUCCACAUUCUUACAAGGGGCAUUAGUAAAGAAAAUGAAAGCGAAGGCCUUAAGGAAGGACUGGAGCAUGUUUAGAUAUGUUUUAGUAAACUUCAUUUGCAAAUGUGGACCAAGUCAAUUAGCCUCCUAUGUUAGUUUAAAUAUUUAUCUUUGUCAGUUCCCACAAAUAUGAAGUCACUCCAUUUUGUAUUAAUGACUCAUUUUACAGAGUAUUAUUGCAUUGCUUUUAAGACACCUACAA